UUUUAUGGUAGCCAAGAUAGGAUG
rnacentral:siRNA from 1 species